rnacentral:sRNA from 1 species
GUGCGGGCUAGCGCCCACACACUCCUCACACCCCCGGCUCGACGCGUUCGAGCUUU